AUAAAGCAGAAUCAAAAGAUGAGAGCUUUGCUGGUUCAUGGGUAGUCAAAGAAUAUAAUGAAAAUGCAUUGGAUGUCAUUGCUGAGACCAAUCAAACUCUCGAAACCCAUACAAAGAAGGUUGUACAAAUGCACAGCUUAGCCCAGAACUUUGCAAGCCAACUGAAGACAAGUGUUGAGCAAAAUGGCAUGCAAGAAUCUUUUAAUGAUUGUUUUCAUUAUGGGAGUGUCUACUUAGGAAAAAAAGGUGACGAAUUUGUCACAGUUGAAGAGUUUGUAGAUGGAGAGUUUAGUAAGUAUAUAAACAAUGAUGGCACAUUGUGCAAGAAUGUCAACGAAGUUAUAUUACAGAAAGCAGAGUGUCUUUCUCAUUUUUCUUUUGAAAAAUCCAACAAUCAGGUAAUGGUGUUAGAUAUCCAAGGAUGUGGCUACUCCCUUGUAGACCCAGAAGUUGCAUCAUCUUCCCUCUUUGAUGAAAAUAAAGAAUUACUUUUUACCACAGGGAAUUUGUCAUUUGAAGCAAUUGCAAAAUUUAAACUCAUUCAUCGAUGUAAUGAGUACUGUGAGCUUCUGAAGCUUAAAGUACUUGUAUAGAAAGAAUACACAAACUGCUGUUAGGGGAUUUCAAGUAAUGAUAUAUCUUUAAAACAUUGUUCUUAUUUCAGUUUGGUGUAUAACAAGGACACCUAAAACUUGAUAUUAUCGACAUUAUCUGUUAGUUACUCUUAGAAGAUUCAUUAAUGUCUUUUAAGAACAUAUCAGACUUUAAAUCGCAUCCCUAGUAAUGUGGUAGCAAAGAGUGACUGGGCAAGCAUCUGUUAACACCAGGUUAUAAUAAAAACUUUUAUGAACACAUUGGGCA